CCCGACUGCUAUUUGGGUGAGAAUAAACCAUGCGAGUUGUAUGGGAUACCUAAAAUUCCCAUGGCGAACUGCUUAGUAACACAUGAUCAACUUGCCCUAUGGAGAAAAAUAACCUCGGGAAAGUAUCAUAGUGGUUUAAAGAAUAUAUCAAAAGACUAUGAUACCCCGAAACUGAGGAUAAUGUUUCAUAGUUGAAUAGGCUUGGAAAAGUUUUUCAAUGAAUGGGAUAAGGAAAAUGGUUCUUUUCUGCCAUAGGAUAGGAUCGUGGUCGACUAUGGUUGUUGGUGAGGUAACGGCUCACCAAGCCGAUAAUCGAUAGGGGCCGUGAGAGCGGGAGCCCCAAGAUGGGUACUGAGACAACGACCCAGGCCUUACGAGGCGCAGCAGGUGCGAGACCUCCGCAAUACACGAAAGUGUGACGGGGUUACCCAAAGUGUUCUCUUUUGAACUGUGGUAGGUGAGUAAUGUCCCCUACUAGAAAGGAGAGGGCAAGGCUGGUGCCAGCCGCCGCGGUAAAACCAGCUCUUCAAGUGGUCGGGAUAAUUAUUGGGCUUAAAGCGUCCGUAGCCGGUUUGGUAAGUUCCUGGUAAAAUCGGGUAGCUUAACUAUCCGCAUGCUAGGAAUACUGCUAUACUAGAGGGCGGGAGAGGUCUGAGGUACUAUAGGGGUAGGGGUGAAAUCUUAUAAUCCUUGUAGGACCACCAGUGGCGAAGGCGUCAGACUGGAACGCGCCUGACGGUGAGGGACGAAAGCCAGGGGAGCGAACCGGAUUAGAUACCCGGGUAGUCCUGGCCGUAAACGAUGCAUACUAGGUGAUGGUACGGCCGUGAGCCGUAUCAGUGCCGUAGGGAAACCGUUAAGUGUGCCGCCUGGGAAGUACGGUCGCAAGGCUAAAACUUAAAGGAAUUGGCGGGGGAGCACCACAAGGGGUGAAGCCUGCGGUUC
rnacentral:rRNA from 1 species